GAUGAACGCUGGCGGCGUGCCUAAUACAUGCAAGUCGAGCGAACGGACGAGAAGCUUGCUUUUCUGAUGUUAGCGGCGGACGGGUGAGUAACACGUGGAUAACCUACCUAUAAGACUGGGAUAACUUCGGGAAACCGGAGCUAAUACCGGAUAAUAUUUUGAACCGCAUGGUUCAAAAGUGAAAGACGGUCUUGCUGUCACUUAUAGAUGGAUCCGCGCUGCAUUAGCUAGUUGGUAAGGUAACGGCUUACCAAGGCAACGAUGCAUAGCCGACCUGAGAGGGUGAUCGGCCACACUGGAACUGAGACACGGUCCAGACUCCUACGGGAGGCAGCAGUAGGGAAUCCUCCGCAAUGGGCGAAAGCCUGACGGAGCAACGCCGCGUGAGUGAUGAAGGUCUUCGGAUCGUAAAACUCCGUUAUUAGGGAAGAACAUAUGUGUAAGUAACUGUGCACAUCUUGACGGUACCUAAUCAGAAAGCCACGGCUAACUACGUG
rnacentral:rRNA from 1 species